AGCGAACGCUGGCGGCAGGCUUAACACAUGCAAGUCGAGCGGGCAUCCUUGUGGUGUCAGCGGCAGACGGGUGAGUAACGCGUGGGAACGUGCCCUUCGGUUCGGAAUAACUCAGGGAAACUUGAGCUAAUACCGGAUACGCCCUUUUGGGGAAAGGUUUACUGCCGAAGGAGCGGCCCGCGUCUGAUUAGCUGGUUGGUGAGGUUACGGCUCACCAAGGCGACGAGCAGUAGCUGGUCUGAGAGGAUGAUCAGCCACACUGGGACUGAGACACGGCUCAGACUCCUCAGGGAGGCAGCAGUGGGGAAUAUUGGACAAUGGGGGCAACCCUGAUCCAGCCAUGCCGCGUGAGUGAUGACGGCCUUAGGGUUGUAAAGCUCUUUUCUCCGGGACGAUAAUGACGGUACCGGAGGAAUAAGCCCCGGCUAACUUCGUGCCAGCAGCCGCGGUAA
rnacentral:rRNA from 1 species